CCCACAGGGACCUGGUUGUCAGAUGCACGGGUCUCACUAUGGGAGCUGUCCCCACCUGCUCUGCCUGAGGAGCCACUCCUCACAACGGCCCCGCCCCAAACUGCGCCAGCCAGUCCCAGCUGCUAAGGGCCCAGGCGAGCACAGUGUUCCAUGCCGACCGGUGCAGGUGCACUUACCCGCGUCCCUCUCCCCGCUGCCCAGGAGAAUGAGGACAAUGUGAUGCUCAGCCGCUGAGGCCAAUCCAGGGAGCCUGCCUUGAUCUCUGCGAUCAGGAAUGUGGCUGAGCAGAUGCAGCUUCUACCUCCAAAGGGACACGCCUCUCAGAUGCUCUGUUGCUAGAAGGGUCCUGGCAGUGCAGGGAAAGGUGGCUCUGCACUGGAGGCUCCACAUAAAGGGCUCAAAACUUCUGGUCCAGUGUCUAAAAGCUGUUCACAGG